rnacentral:sRNA from 2 species
GCUAACUUUUCCUUACUCCGACCCCUAACCAGGACAGGACACACACCAAGUUUACUAGCCAUACCUCGCUCGCGUAGCAUACGAUAUGAAAAAAAAAAAAUUGAUAAUAGAUAAUCAAUGGAAAGCAGCUCAGACAGACACCCCACGCCCCACACCCCAUUUUCUAAUGCAAAUGUCCGUGCCCAUGACGCUUGUGGACCUUUCGAACAGCCUUGGCUCCAGCAGGCGGUGUGGCACCGGCAGGAAGUUCAAUAGUAGUCGUAACCUUCUCUUCCAUGAUGACAAGCUCGUAAACGACGUUGCCCUCGGUGUACGUGCUCGUGGAGAUGGGGGUGGCAUUUCCGUACUCUUCUGGGGCGAAGAAUUGCCCGGGGGCUGGAGCUGGGGUUGUGGUGUGUUUGACGGGGGG